UUAGGACCACACAUUUACACUUUCCCUCUCUCUCUCUCUCCCUCUCUCCCGUUGACCCUCUCUUUCUCUCUCUUCCCUCUCGGUUCUUCUCCAUUUUCGUACUGUACGUACGUACGAACGAAACUCAACCAACCUAUCUCUUCACGGAUCAUGGUUGUGAAGACCAUUUUCAAGUUCCUUACGAGCCCAUGAACCCAGUGAUACUAUUAUUUGGACGUGAAACCUUGAAAAACCCGAGAAACCAUAACCUCCAAUUUGAGGUACUGUUCAUGCACACGUAAAUGUGUAGUUUUCUGAGAGUUUUGAAGUUAUAGGGAGCUUUAGAUCGUCUUCACGAGGCUUGGAGAAGAAAAAUGAAGUGAUUUGGACGUCGGGAAGCUCAGGAAUAGGGAGUUGCAGGUUUAGUCGGAACAUCGAAGGAUUUUUCGACGAGUUCCAUCGGUUUUAGGACGAGAUAUGAAGGUUUUCGUGAUUUUCCAGUUUUCGGUGAAUGGCGACGGCGACCGGCAAGGCUAACCGGAGAGGAAGAUAGAAUAUUCCUUCAAAGUUGACGGAAUAUUUUGACGCCGUAAGGUAGAAUUAACAGUUUCUGUUACUUUUUAACGGAAUAUUCCUAACGGGGUUAAGGGAUUCCAAUAGGGUCCCUGCGUGUGGCCGCGUGUGUUGCCGUGCCCUUGUCGGAGCGUGGUGGCAUGUGGGACGUCGGAAAAAUUUUCUAAAAAUAUGGGGAUGUUGAGGUUGUGUAGAUCACAUUGGUAUAUUCAAACAUCCCAUUUGAGCAAUGUAUGAGAAGUUAUUAGCUAGUAUUCGUUAUGUGCUUUAAAUUAACGUUUUUAUAGUUGUUUCGCAUAUAGGGGAGACUUAUCCCGAGGACGAGCGCGGUCAAGGGCGACUCGGGGGCUACGACUCUUUGACAUACCAGUGAGUGGGCUUUUGGUUUUCAGUAUAUACUUAUAUACUUGAUAUUUUCCCAGAAAAUGCGUUUAAAUGAAAGUAUGCCUUGAAAUGCCAUGCAUAUAAAUUUAUGUUCAAUAUAUGAAUUAGUAUAUGAUGCAUACUAUAUAAUUGUGGUGAUGUGGACACUCAGGUAAGUCCAAGUGAGUUUAUGAAUUGUAAAUGUGAAUAAUGAUUAUGAUUAAUUGAGAAGUAUAGAGCUCAUAAACCUGCACCUCGAUGUUCGUGAUUAGUCAGAGAUAUGACACAUGCUUGUAUAUAAUGUCACCUCCUGCACCCUAUGCUCACAUUGGAUCCAAUACAGACCAUUAUAGGUGAUUCCAACUCGUAGAUGACUAGCGAUUUAUCGCACAGCUAUCAUGAGAGCGUAGUAUUGAGCAUAAUUAUAUUACACCCAGUCUUGUUGUACAGACCUUUUCAGUGGUUCCAACUUGUGUGCAGUGUAGUGCCGUAUAGGUCAUUUGCAGUGACUCUGGUUAGAUUGACUAAUGAGCUAUGAAUGCAACCGUACAGACUUCUGCAGGGAUUCCGGCUAAUGUGUUAUUUUCCAUGAAUUUACUUUCACAUGAGUUACUUAUCUUGUUUAUAUCUUGGCAUGACAUACUUAUGAUUAUGAAUAUGUGUAGCAUGAUUUGAAUUGAUAUAUAUAGAUAUAUGUAUACGUUUAUAUUCUAUUUCUAGGAAAAAGUAUACAUGUUUUACGGCGAGGGGUUAGAGCACUUGAAAGUUAAAUGUGUUCUUAAAACCCUUGUUUUUGCCCACUCACGUUUUCUGUUUUGCGCCCCUCCAGGUUUUAGGUAGAAUUGCUGUUGGUGGCAUUGAGGAUCUCGAUGGUUCUGAUAGAAUAAAAUAUUCGUAGGAUAUCUUCUGGUACUAUAUAACUAGUACUUGUCCUACUGGACUGCACCUAGAUUUUCUAUGCUCUGAUUAGGAGUAUUUACUCUUGUAUCUCACUCCUAGCACUUUCCUGCUUAUUAGUGCACAUUAGUACCUUUCGGUUUUUAUUUAUUCGUAU
rnacentral:lncRNA from 1 species